rnacentral:rRNA from 1 species
UCAACCUGCCCUUCAGAGGGGGACAACAGUUGGAAACGACUGCUAAUACCGCAUACGAUCUGACCUCGGCAUCGAGGAUAGAUGAAAGGUGGCCUCUAUUUAUAAGCUAUCACUGAAGGAGGGGAUUGCGUCUGAUUAGCUAGUUGGAGGGGUAACGGCCCACCAAGGCGAUGAUCAGUAGCCGGUCCGAGAGGAUGAACGGCCACAUUGGGACUGAGACACGGCCCAGACUCCUACGGGAGGCAGCAUG